rnacentral:rRNA from 1 species
UACAGAGGGUGCGAGCGUUAAUCGGAGUUACUGGGCGUAAAGGGCGCGUAGGCGGUUAUAUAAGUGAGAUGUGAAAUCCCUGGGCUUAACCUAGGAACUGCAUCUCAUACUGUAUGACUGGAGUAUUGUAGAGGGUAGUGGAAUUUCCGGUGUAGCGGUGAAAUGCGUAGAGAUCGGAAGGAACACCAGUGGCGAAGGCGGCUACCUGGACAAAUACUGACGCUGAGGCGCGAGAGCGUGGGGGAGCAAACAGG